UAAAUAAAUAUUACAAAAAAAAUAUUAUUGGUACGCACAUUUACAUUAAUAGAAUCUGAUAUCCUAAACUCCCAUAGCAACACUUUGUUUUUAUCAAAGAACUUCUAUGAGUUCCCAUCAAUGGAAGCUAGAGUCACUACCCCACCAUUUUUGUCAAUGUUCCUUCAAGCAUCCUUUCCCAUCGACCAAUACAG